rnacentral:rRNA from 1 species
UACGUAGGGGGCAAGCGUUGUCCGGAUUUAUUGGGCGUAAAGAGCGUGUAGGCGGCCUGAAAGGUCAGCUGUGAAAACUCGAGGCUCAACCUCGAGACGUCGGUUGAAACCAUCUGGCUAGAGUCCGGAAGAGGAGUGUGGAAUUCCCGGUGUAGCGGUGAAAAUGCGCAGAUAUCGGGAAGAACACCCGUGGCGAAGGCGGCACUCUGGGACGGUACUGACGCUGAGACGCGAAAAGCGUGGGGGAGCGAACAGG